UACGGAGGAUGCGAGCGUUAUCCGGAUUUAUUGGGUUUAAAGGGUGCGUAGGCGGCUUUUCAAGUCAGGGGUGAAAUCCCACGGCCCAACCGUGGAACUGCCUUUGAAACUGUAGAGCUUGAGUGUCGGAGAGGGUGGCGGAAUUCCAGGUGUAGGAGUGAAAUCCGUAGAUAUCUGGAGGAACACCGGUGGCGAAGGCGGCCACCUGGACGACAACUGACGCUGAGGUGCGAAAGCGUGGGUAGCAAACAGG
rnacentral:rRNA from 1 species